rnacentral:rRNA from 1 species
UUGACCUCAGAUCAGGCGGGAU